rnacentral:rRNA from 1 species
UACGUAGGGGGCAAGCGUUAUCCGGAUUUACUGGGUGUAAAGGGAGCGUAGACGGAAUUGCAAGUCUGAUGUGAAAAUCCGGGGCCCAACCCCGGAACUGCAUUGGAAACUGUAUUUCUAGAGUGUCGGAGAGGCAAGUGGAAUUCCUAGUGUAGCGGUGAAAUGCGUAGAUAUUAGGAGGAACACCAGUGGCGAAGGCGGCCUGCUGGGCUUUUACUGACGCUGAGGCUCGAAAGUGUGGGGAGCAAACAGG